rnacentral:rRNA from 1 species
AGCGGCAAAAGCUCAAAUUUGAAAUCUGGCACUUUCAGUGUCCGAGUUGUAAUUUGAAGAAGGUAUCUUUGGGUCUGGCUCUUGUCUAUGUUUCUUGGAACAGAACGUCACAGAGGGUGAGAAUCCCGUGCGAUGAGAUGACCCAGACCUAUGUAAAGUUCCUUCGAAGAGUCGAGUUGUUUGGGAAUGCAGCUCUAAGUGGGUGGUAAAUUCCAUCUAAAGCUAAAUAUUGGCGAGAGACCGAUAGCGAACAAGUACAGUGAUGGAAAGAUGAAAAGAACUUUGAAAAGAGAGUGAAAAAGUACGUGAAAUUGUUGAAAGGGAAGGGCUUGAGAUCAGACUUGGUAUUUUGUAUGUUACUCUUUCGGGGGUGGCCUCUACAGUUUACCGGGCCAGCAUCAGUUUGGGCGGUAGGAGAAUUGCAAAGAAAUGUGGCACUGCUUCGGUAGUGUGUUAUAGUCUUUGUCGAUACUGCCAGCCUAGACUGAGGACUGCGGCUUCGGCCUAGGAUGUUGGCAUAAUGAUCUUAAGUCGCCCGUCUUGA